CAGUAGCCGCGGGAAUACGAAGGGGGCUAGCGUUGUUCGGAUUUACUGGGCGUAAAGCGCACGUAGGCGGAUCGAUCAGUCAGGGGUGAAAUCCCAGAGCUCAACUCUGGAACUGCCUUUGAUACUGUCGAUCUGGAGUAUGGAAGAGGUGAGUGGAAUUCCGAGUGUAGAGGUGAAAUUCGUAGAUAUUCGGAGGAACACCAGUGGCGAAGGCGGCUCACUGGUCCAUUACUGACGCUGAGGUGCGAAAGCGUGGGGAGCAAACAGGAUUAGAUACCCCUGUAGUCCCUGUCUCUUAUAA
rnacentral:rRNA from 1 species